UUGAUCCUGGCUCAGGAUGAACGCUAGCGGUGUGCCUAAUGCAUGCAAGUCGAACGGUAGGGACCGUUUUCGGAUGGUUCUGAGAGUGGCGAACGGGUGAGUAACACGUUGGUGACCUGCCCCAGAGAGGGGGAUAACUAUUGGAAACGAUAGCUAAUACCCCAGAUGUCAAAGUGUUUAGAAAUCUUUGACUAAAGCAAUGUGCUCUAGGAGGGACCUGCGGCCCAUCAGCUAGUUGGUGAGGUAACGGCUUACCAAGGCAAAGACGGGUAGGGGGCGUGAGAGCGUGACCCCCCACACUGGUACUGAGACACGGACCAGAUACCUACGGGUAGCAGCAGCAAGGAAUAUUGCCCAAUGGACGGAAGUCUGAGGCAGCAACACCGCGUGGAGGACGAAGGCUUUCGGGUCGUAAACUCCUUUUCUGGGGGAAGAGAAAGGACGGUACCCCAGGAAUAAGUCUCGGCUAACUACGUGCCAGCAGCCGCGGUAAAACGUAGGAGGCGAGCGUUAUCCGGAUUUACUGGGCGUAAAGCGCAUGCAGGCGGACGCUUAAGUCGGACGUGAAAGCUCCUGGCUCAACUAGGAGAUGCCGUUCGAAACUAGGUGUCUUGAGGGUGGUAGAGGAGAGUGGAAUUCCCGGUGUAGUGGUGAAAUGCGUAAUUCGGGAGGAAACACCAGUGGCGAAAGCGGCUCUCUGGGCCAUCCUGACGCUCAGAUGCAAAGCUAGGGGAGAGAACGGGAUUAAAAACCCCGGUAUUCCUUACCGUAAACGAUUUCAACUAGGCUAGGUUGUGAUUGACCCCAUCUGUGCUGCAGCCAACGCGAUAAGUGACCGCCUGGGGAGUACGGCCGCAAGGCUAAACUCAAAGGAAUUGACGGGGACCCGCACAAGCAGCGGAGCGUGUGGUUUAAUUCGAAGAUACGCGAAGAACCUUACCAGGGUUUGACAUGGCGGGGGUAGGGGCUGGAAACAGUACCGACCCUUCGGGGAGCCGACACAGGUGCUGCAUGGCUGUCGUCAGCUCGUGCCGUGAGGUGUUAGGUUAAGUCCUGUAACGAGCGCAACCCACAUCGAUAGUUACAAGUGUCUACCGAGACUGCCGGUGAUAAGCCGGAGGAAGGUGAGGAUGACGUCAAGUCAGCAUGGCCUUUAUAUCCUGGGCUACACACACGCUACAAUGGGCGGUACAAUGGGUAGCCAAGCCGCGAGGUGGAGCCAAUCCUAAAAAGCCGUUCUAAGUUCGGAUUGCAGGCUGCAACUCGCCUGCAUGAAGUCGGAGUUGCUAGUAACCGCGCGUCAGCAACAGUGCGGUGAAUACGUUCCCGGGGAUUGUACACACCGCCCGUCACGUCAUGGAAGCUGGCAACGCCUGAAGUCAGUGAGCUAACCCGAAAGGGAGGCAACUGCCCAAGGCGGGGUCGGUAACUGGGACGAAGUCGUAACAAGGUAGCUGUAGCGGAAGCUGCGGCUGGAUCACCUCCU
rnacentral:rRNA from 1 species